rnacentral:tRNA from 1 species
UCCCUGGUGGUCCGGUGGUUAGGACUCCAAGCUCUCACUGCCAAGGGCCCAGGUUCAAUUCCUGGUCGGGGAU